rnacentral:rRNA from 1 species
UGCCAGCCGCCGCGGUAAUACAGAGGGUGCAAGCGUUAAUCGGAAUUACUGGGCGUAGAGGGUGCGUAGGUGGUUACUUAAGUUAGGUGUGAAAGCCCCGGGCUCAACCUGGGAAUUGCGCUUGAUACUGGGUGGCUAGAGUACUGUAGAGGAAGGUAGAAUUUCCAGUGUAGCGGUGAAAUGCGUAGAUAUUGGAAGGAAUACCGGUGGCGAAGGCGGCCUUCUGGACAGAUACUGACACUGAGGCACGAAAGCGUGGGGAGCAAACAGGAUUAGAUA